rnacentral:lncRNA from 1 species
UUAUAGAGUUGGAUUAGCAAACUGUUAUUUUCGGAUACACAUUUCCAUAUUUCACAAGUGUCUUUUACAGCAAUACAAGGGGCUUGCUUGGACUUUGUAUUGUGUAUGUGUGUGUUGAUUUUAGUUAAUCAGUUUAGAAAUGUCUAAAACAUAACGUGAGUAGGUACAAUAGUCCAAACCUUUUCUAUUUUCUUUACUACAUUCUGUUCAUACUUGACUCCGAUUUAUAAUAAGAAUAACUAACACGACGCGUACCUUAUUUGAAUUUGAAGCAUAAUCACUUUGGUUACUAUUUUGUGUUAUAUCAAUGAGGACUAAUGAUAUACAUACAAAUGGAUAGACAAUUUAAUCAGAUAUAUUUGUAUCUCCUACUGACAGUUGCGCAAAUUGUUAAGUGAUGAAAUUUUACGUUAAUCUGCUGACCAUUUGUAUGUUUAAUUUGUGCGUAAAAGAACAAUUUUGAUAAGCAUGAUAAUCUUCAUGAUGUGCAUGCUAUUGUGGUAAAUUCAAAUCAUAUACAUGUUUUUUUGUUUUUUCAAAAUUGAUAAGUAUCUUCGUUUUAUUUAUUUUACAUUUGUCACUUUGGGGGGCCUAUUAUAGCUGACUAUGCAGUAUUGGCUUUAAUCAUUUUUGAAAGCCACACGGUGACCUAUAAUAGUUCAUUGAUGUGUCAUUUUGGUCUUUUGUGAAGAGUUGUCACA